rnacentral:ncRNA from 2 species
UUUUCGCACUCUGGAGAGCGGCAGUAGCCGUCUGCAUCGUUUAAUCGAGCAGAUUCUGGCAAGCUGCCCACCGAAGGGGCGCGCGUUUCACCGUAGCGAUCACGGCUUCACUAUCGCUCGGUAGCGCAAUCUCUCAGGUAUCGAGGACAGAGGGGUCAUG